UACGGAGGGGACUAGCGUUGUUCGGAAUUACUGGGCGUAAAGCGCGCGUAGGCGGAUUUGCAAGUCGGGGGUGAAAUCCCGAGGCUCAACCUCGGAACUGCCUUCGAUACUGCAAAUCUCGAGUCCGGAAGAGGUGAGUGGAAUUCCUAGUGUAGAGGUGAAAUUCGUAGAUAUUAGGAAGAACACCAGUGGCGAAGGCGGCUCACUGGUCCGGUACUGACGCUGAGGCGCGAAAGCUAGGGGAGCAAACGGG
rnacentral:rRNA from 1 species